UAGAAAAACAGGACUUGAA
rnacentral:tRNA from 1 species